rnacentral:rRNA from 1 species
AUUGAACGCUGGCGGUAUGCUUUACACAUGCAAGUCGAACGGCAGCACGGGAGCAAUCCUGGUGGCGAGUGGCGAACGGGUGAGUAAUACAUCGGAACGUGCCCGAUCGUGGGGGAUAACGCAGCGAAAGCUGCGCUAAUACCGCAUACGAUCUGAGGAUGAAAGCGGGGGACCGUAAGGCCUCGCGCGAUCGGAGCGGCCGAUGUCAGAUUAGGUAGUUGGGGGGGUAAAGGCCCACCAAGCCGACGAUCUGUAGCUGGGCGGAGAGGACGACCAGCCACACUGGGACUGAGACACGGCCCAGACUCCUACGGGAGGCAGCAGUGGGGAAUUUUGGACAAUAGGCGAAAGCCUGAUCCAGCAAUGCCGCGUGCAGGAAGAAGGCCUUCGGGUUGUAAACUGCUUUUGUACGGAGCGAAAAGGUCCUUUCUAAUACAAGGGGCUCAUGACGGUACCGUAAGAAUAAGCACCGGCUAACUACGUGCCAGCCGCCGCCGUAA